GUUAUGCUCCGGCAGCAUGGAUAAAGAAGCUGUUUAUUUCCUCACCCCCCACACCAACACCAGACAAUUUCUUAGGAGUACCAAGUCAGAGAUUGUCUCAAACACAGCCGCCCUGAAUAAAUCUGUGAGCAAUUGGGGAGCCAGCAGACUACACCCAACCAGUGUCCACUGACUCAGACCUAUCUCUGUAUGAAAUGUGAGUCAGAGAGAAACACAAGGCCAGGCAGAUGUUCUGAGAAGUAAGGUGUCAGCUCGGGUCUUUCAGCUUCCACUUCCCGAUCACAAGUCACAAGAACAGUGUCAUGGCCUCUGCUCCAGGAUUGCGUGUGAAGCCACCAUGGCCCCUUUGCAAAGAAGAUCAUGUCCCUGCAACUAUUUUGAUGUUGGUUUCGUGAACAAAAUCAGAUGGCAGAGAGAACACCAAGACCUCGGCCCUGCAGCACUGUGAGCGCUUGUUCAGAUGCAGCCUGCGGCCAUUUCUCGCCAUUUCCGGGUCCUCAGAGCACACAUGCUAUAGUGGCUCAGUCCCCGAGAUCUUCCAAAACCAGGAAUCUAGUUUUUCUUAGCAAAGCCUUUGAGAGGGAACUGACACUGAUUCUAACCACUCC